UACGGAGGGUGCAAGCGUUGUCCGGAUUUAUUGGGUUUAAAGGGUGCGUAGGCGGCUUUUUAAGUCAGUGGUGAAAUACAGCAGCUCAACUGUUGAGGUGCCAUUGAUACUGAAGAGCUUGAGUACAGAUGAGGUAGGCGGAAUUUAUGGUGUAGCGGUGAAAUGCAUAGAUACCAGAAAGAACACCGAUUGCGAAGGCAGCUUACUAAGCUGUAACUGACGCUGAGGCACGAAAGCGUGGGGAGCGAACAGG
rnacentral:rRNA from 1 species